rnacentral:rRNA from 1 species
UACGUAGGGGGCAAGCGUUGUCCGGAAUCAUUGGGCGUAAGGAGCGUGUAGGCGGCCCGAUAAGUCCGCUGUGAAAGUCCAGGGCUCAACCCUGGAAUGCCAGUGGAAACUGUCGGGCUGGAGUGCGGAAGAGGCGAGUGGAAUUCCUGGUGUAGCGGUGAAAUGCGCAGAUAUCAGGAGGAACACCAAUGGCGAAGGCAGCUCGCUGGGACGGUACUGACGCUGAGACGCGAAAGCGUGGGGAGCAAACAGG